rnacentral:rRNA from 1 species
GACGUGACUUCAGAGUUUGAUCCUGGCUCAGGACGAACGCUGGCGGCAUGCUUAACACAUGCAAGUCGAACGAGAAUCAACGGAUAGAGGCUUCGGCCAAUUGAAGUUGAGGACAGUGGCGGACGGGUGAGUAACGCGUGAGGAACCUGCCUUUCAGAGGGGGACAACAGUUGGAAACGACUGCUAAUACCGCAUGAUGCAUCGGAGUCGCAUGGCUCUGAUGCCAAAGAUUUAUCGCUGAAAGAUGGCCUCGCGUCUGAUUAGCUAGUUGGUGAGGUAACGGCCCACCAAGGCGACGAUCAGUAGCCGGACUGAGAGGUUGAACGGCCACAUUGGGACUGAGAUACGGCCCAG